rnacentral:lncRNA from 1 species
AUGUCUUUCUGUGUCAGGUUUGUUUCUGUGGUGAAGCCAGCUGCGAGCAAACAAAAAGGCAACAAAGAAAUACAAAGCACCAACAUGCAGAGCGACCUGAAGAGAAAGUUACGUGUCUGUGUGCGAGACAGUGUGUGCUUAAUGGGAAAGUAUGACACAACUAAGGCAACCUUCUCCUCAAGACUCCCCAGGAACUCUUUAAGGUCACAAGUUUUAGUCUGUGUACUCUGGGGAACCACAUCUUGCUGUUUAGGCUGGGAAGACAUUGGGUCAGCUGGUGUAAUUGGCAUCUCUCUUACCACAUUCACGGACUGUAACGCUUGUAUGGAUUUCUCUUAAAUUCAUACAUGAAUUCUCAUGGGAUUCCAACCCCUGCUGGUUGUUUGCUAUGCUGCUGCACAUUCUGAGGUGAUUUUUCAUGUCAUCAGAAAGGUCUAGCGCUGGGCUGAGUUCAUAUGUACAAACGAAUGCUGAAGUGAUGGAGGAUUCCUGUCUCCUAUGCAAGCAAGAUUAAAAAAGAGGGCAGGAGAGGAAAAGACUGAAAGGCUACGUGGCAGACCAAAGAGCAAGGAGCCUUAAUUAAUUCAUGGAAGUAAUAACAUUUAUGUCAGCUGCUCCUCUUUUCUGAAGGAUGGAACCUCACUGAUUGAAAGAUACUUGGGUCAGAUACACUCUCACUACUCAGCAGCUCCAUUGCUGUAGCUCUUGUAAAACCUGAAACCACGUGACCUUCAUGCACUGCUGUUUUUCAUUAUUGGUCUCAGCACAGAGUAUAGGAAUUGUCAUAUAUUAUCAACUCAGCCAUCUAUUAAGAUCCAUAUUCUCACUAAUGGUAGCUUAAGAGGGCAGUGCCAUAAUUUGAUGCGUAUACUUUUUUCUCUGCUCUAAAUCUUAAAUUAAACUCUUGAUAGACUCAGGGUUUUUGUUUUUUUUUGGUUUUUUUGUUUUGUUUUGGUUUUUUGUUUUUGUUUUUUUUCCCCAGACAACAUUGCUUAAAGUAUCUUUGAAAACUGUUGAAAAUCAUGCCAAAUCUGGACAGCCUCACUGUCACAUCACUGACCAAACCCUGAAUCUUUAUGUUCUUGAAUGAUGGCACAACUUGUCUUCCCUGAAGGUGUUCACUGUGUAAAAAAAGGUAAGAAUAGGCUUGUUUUCCUUAUGAAACAAGCAGAGGAGAUGAUUUUCAGUCGGUCCCUCCUCAGCCGUGCACUAAAGUUGUAGCUACAAACUCAUCCUUUCUCUUUGGUGGCAGCUAUCUAACUCAUGUUUUUCUCAGUCUAAUCCAGUACAUGAUGCUCUGUGUGGAGGCUGUCUGCAAACUGUAAAUGCUCUGGAGUUGGAAUUUGUUCUGUUUACAAGUAACAAUGAAACAAACCCUUCCGUGAGCUGUGGAUUAAUAGCUGGCAUGGAUUUGGGCCAAUGUACUUGAAUACAUUCAUGAAAUUUCGCUUUAUCCUUAGUAUCUUAUCUGCAAGAGUAUUUCAAAUUUACAAUUCUUUCCCUUAUCUUUUCUGUGUUUCCCUUGCUUGUAAAUACACAUAAUACAUCCUGGUUUUGUUUGCAUGUCGAUUUUCUUUCUCAGGAGAACAGAUAAAUAAUUAAUCAUUGACUAAGGGAGCGACUGGUGUGGGAAUGAUGCCAGGUCUAACCUUGAGUCUUUUCUAUUUCCUUGUGAUGUUUUGGGGAAAGAGAAAUGAAACAAAGAAAUACGGCCACAUAAAGCGUGUCAUAAAUCCUUCCUCGAAUGAAAAGCAUUCGGGAAAUCUCCUUCCUUUCCAAGAACAUCUUUGGUUUGUCUGAUAUAGUGUUGUUGUCAGGUACACUGGAGCCGUUUUGAAAGGAGGAUGUGACAAACCAGUGUUGAUUGUGUAAUAAUUAAAUGUAGCUGUCUACAGCUGCCAGUCACAAUCAAGGCUGAAAAUCUCAGCAGCAGAAGCACAAAUUCCUGCCACCUAAACUGAAGGAAGAGCUCCCUUACCUGGGAGUGAGUAACAGCCUAUUGCAUCCUCUGCAGCCAGCCAUAAAAGGGAAAAGGGAAAUAUUCAGUGCACUGCAAUUAUGCCAUGCAUCGUAACCUCUGUGGUUAUGUGCAGAGUAAAUGUAGAUUGAUCAUUAUUAACACCCUUUUUUUUUCUUUUUUUUUUUCCUUUUUCUUCCUUUCUUUUUUCUUUUUAAAGAAUCUGCCUAAGUACCUCUCAUAAUAGAAAAUAAACUCAUUAGAAGAUGAUGGCA